rnacentral:rRNA from 1 species
UACGAAGGGGGCUAGCGUUGCUCGGAAUCACUGGGCGUAAAGGGUGCGUAGGCGGCGCGGUAAGUCGGGUGUGAAAUCUCGGAGCUCAACCCCGAAACUGCACUGGAUACUGCCUUGCUUGAGUACUGGAGAGGAGAUUGGAAUUUACGGUGUAGCAGUGAAAUGCGUAGAUAUCGUAAGGAAGACCAGUGGCGAAGGCGAAUCUCUGGACAGUUACUGACACUGAGGCACGAAGGCCAGGGGAGCAAACGGG